rnacentral:rRNA from 1 species
UACAGAGGGGGCAAGCGUUGUUCGGAAUUACUGGGCGUAAAGGGCGCGUAGGCGGCCUUCUAAGUCGAACGUGAAAUCCCCGGGCUCAACCCGGGAACUGCGUCCGAUACUGGAGGGCUUGAAUCCGGGAGAGGGAUGUGGAAUUCCAGGUGUAGCGGUGAAAUGCGUAGAUAUCUGGAGGAACACCAAUGGCGAAAGCAGGUACCUGGACUAUUACUGACACUCAGCUGCGAAAGCUAGGGGAGCAAACAGG